rnacentral:rRNA from 1 species
AGAGUUUGAUCAUGGCUCAGAAUGAACGUUGGCGGCGUGGAUUAGGCAUGCAAGUCGAGCGAGAACCCAGCAAUGGGGGACAGCGGCGAAAGGGACAGUAAUGUGUAGAUUAUCUGCCCUCGGGUCCGGGAUAGCUGCGGGAAACUGCAGGUAAUACCGGAUAACAUCUCCGGAUCAAAGGUGUGAUUCCGCCCGAGGAUGAGUCUGCAUCCUAUUAGCUUGUUGGUGGGGUAAUGGGCCUACCAAGGCUUUGAUGGGUAGCGGGUGUGAGAGCACGACCCGCGUCAUUGGGACUGAGACACUGCCCAGACACCUACGGGUGGCUGCAGUCGAGAAUCUUCGGCAAUGGGCGCAAGCCUGACCGAGCGACGCCGCGUGUGGGAUGAAGGCCUUCGGGUUGUAAACCACUGUCAGAGGGGAUGAAAUGCAGGUGGGUUCUCCCACUUGUUUGACAUAGCCUCAGAGGAAGGACGGGCUAAGUUCGUG